rnacentral:tRNA from 4 species
GGAGAGGUGCGAGAGUGGCCGAAUCGGCGUGACUGGAAAUCACGUGUGCCAGCAAUGGUACCGUGGGUUCGAAACCCACCCUCUCCGCCA